rfam:Schistosoma rodhaini strain Burundi genome assembly, scaffold: SROB_scaffold0011799
AUCCAGAUGACAAGUUCUAAAUAGGACGAAACGCGCGUUCUGUAU